AUUGAACGCUGGCGGCAGGCCUAACACAUGCAAGUCGGGCGAGCGGCGGACGGGUGAGUAAUGUAUGGGGAUCUGCCUGAUGGAGGGGGAUAACUACUGGAAACGGUAGCUAAUACCGCAUACCAUCAGAUGAACCCAUAUGGGAUUAGCUUGUAGGUAAGGUAACGGCUUACCUAGGCGACGAUCCCUAGCUGGUCUGAGAGGAUGAUCAGCCACACUGGAACUGAGACACGGUCCAAGAUCCUACGGGGGGCAGCAGUGGGGAAAUUUGGACAAUGGGCGCAAUGCCGAUCCAGCCAUGCCGCGUGUGUGGAGAAAGUCUUCGGAUUGUAAAGCACUUUAAGUUGGGAAGCGUUACCAACAGGAUAAGCACCGGCUAACUUCGUGCCCGCAGGCGCGGUAAUAC
rnacentral:rRNA from 1 species